rnacentral:misc_RNA from 1 species
GCGGGCUGGACCUCUCGGGGUUACAGCCUUGCUGAAUUAUUCACCCUUGUCUUUUGCGUACUUCUUGUUUCCUUGGUGGGUUCGCCCACCACUAGGACAAACAUAAACCUUUUGUAAUUGCAAUCAGCGUCAGUAACAAAUUAAUAAUUACAACUUUCAACAACGGAUCUCUUGGUUCUGGCAUCGAUGAAGAACGCAGCGAAAUGCGAUAAGUAGUGUGAAUUGCAGAAUUCAGUGAAUCAUCGAAUCUUUGAACGCACAUUGCGCCCUUUGGUAUUCCAAAGGGCAUGCCUGUUCGAGCGUCAUUUGUACCCUCAAGCUUUGCUUGGUGUUGGGCGUCUUGUCUCUAGCUUUGCUGGAGACUCGCCUUAAAGUAAUUGGCAGCCGGCCUACUGGUUUCGGAGCGCAGCACAAGUCGCACUCUCUAUCAGCAAAGGUCUAGCAUCCAUUAAGCCUUUUUUUCAACUUUUGACCU